GCUUAAAAGGGCCGUAGCUUGAUAAUAGGGUCCCUUGAGAAAUCCGCCGGCUUAACUGGCGGGCGUUCAGGGGAAACUUGUUUUCUAGGGACCGGGAGAGGUGAGGGGUACUGCCGGGGUAGGAGUGAAAUCCUGUAAUCCCGGUGGGACCACCUAUGGCGAAGGCAUCUCGCCAGAACGGGUCCGACAGUGAGGGACGAAAGCUGGGGGAGCAAACCGGAUUAGAUACCCGGGUAGUCCCAGCUGUAAACUAUGUGCGUUAGGUGUGUCAGUGACCACGUGUCACUGAGGUGCCGAAGGGAAACCGUGAAACGCACCGCCUGGGGAGUACGGUCGCAAGGCUGAAACUUAAAGGAAUUGGCGGGGGAGCACCACAACGGGUGGAGCCUGCGGUUUAAUCGGACUCAACGCCGGGAAUCUCACCGGAUAAGACAGCUGAAUGAUAGUCGGGAUGAAGACUCUACUUGACUAGCUGAGAGGAGGUGCAUGGCCGUCGUCAGUUCGUACUGUGAAGCAUCCUGUUUAGUCAGGCAACGAGCGAGACCCACGCGAGCAGUUGCCAGCUUGACCUUCGGGUUGAUGGGGACACUGCUCGGACCGCCUCUGCUAAAGGGGAGGAAGGACUGGGCAACGGUAGGUCAGCAUGCCCCGAAUUAUCCGGGCUACACGCGGGCUACAAUGGACAGGACAAUGAGUUUCGACACCGAGAGGUGAGGAUAAUCUUCUAACCCUGUCCCAAGUUCGGAUUGCGGGUUGUAACUCACCCGCAUGAAGCUGGAAUCCGUAGUAAUCGCGUUUCAACAUACCGCGGUGAAUAUGUCCCUGCUCCUUGCACACACCGCCCGU
rnacentral:rRNA from 1 species